rnacentral:rRNA from 1 species
GCUCCUCGGAACCUAGAGAUAGGGCUUUCCCUUCGGGGACAGAGUGACAGGUGGUGCAUGGUUGUCGUCAGCUCGUGUCGUGAGAUGUUGGGUUAAGUCCCGCAACGAGCGCAACCCUUGAUCUUAGUUGCCAGCAUUCAGUUGGGCACUCUAAGGUGACUGCCGGUGACAAACCGGAGGAAGGUGGGGAUGACGUCAAAUCAUCAUGCCCCUUAUGACCUGGGCUACACACGUGCUACAAUGGACAGAACAAAGGGCUGCGAGACCGCAAGGUUUAGCCAAUCCCACAAAUCUGUUCUCAGUUCGGAUCGCAGUCUGCAACUCGACUGCGUGAAGCUGGAAUCGCUAGUAAUCGCGGAUCAGCAUGCCGCGGUGAAUACGUUCCCGGGUCUUGUACACACCG